rnacentral:RNase_P_RNA from 1 species
GGAGUUAACUAGACAAUCGCUGCUUUUUUGUGUUUACAAGUGAUUAUAUAGUUGUUGUAAUUACAAAUGAAGGGGAGGAAAGUCCGGGCUCCAAAGGACAGAGUGCCAGGUAACACCUGGGGGAUAUUAAUCUACGACAAGUGCAACAGAAAGAAAACCGCCGAUAAUUAUUUAUAAUAUGUUAUAGAAAAUAAUAUGGGUAAGGGUGAAAAGGUGUGGUAAGAGCACACCAUCCGAAUUGGUAACAAUUCGCGUUAUGUAAACUCCACUCGGAGCAAGGCUAAAUAGAAGUUCAAUAGUAUGGUCCGUACUGAACUUGGGUAAGCUGCUGAAACUAGUGUGUGAAUGCUAGUUUAGAUGAAUGAUUGUCCGAGACAGAACCCGGCUUAUCGGUUAACUCCUUUU